UACGAAGGGGGCUAGCGUUGCUCGGAAUGACUGGGCGUAAAGGGCGUGUAGGUGGUUUCGUAAGUCUGGCGUGAAAUUUUUCGGCUUAACCGGGAAAGGUCGUCGGAUACUGCGGAACUAGAGGACGGUAGAGGCGUGUGGAAUUCCGGGUGUAGUGGUGAAAUGCGUAGAGAUCCGGAGGAACACCAGUGGCGAAGGCGACACGCUGGGCCGUACCUGACACUGAUGCGCGACAGCAUGGGGAGCAAACAGG
rnacentral:rRNA from 1 species